CCCCUGGCAAUACAAUACAAUAAGUUUUAUUUUGAGUCGACAAGAAGGCAACAUUACAAAACAUAAGCUCUGAAGAGCUUUUGAACCGACUAUACAACAAAUUAAAACAAGUUUAACAGAGUUAUAAAAGAGCUACAAAAGAGAAAUUAUUAAGCACACAAAUUUAAAUAGAACUAGUUGAGCAUGUGUAAUAAUACAAGUGUUAAAAUCUGUGUUGAAGCUGCUGAUCUAGACGUUGCUGUCUAAAAACUGCCAUAAGAGAGGAAAAUAAGAUCUGCAAUACAAAAAACAACACAAAAGUGUAUGCUUAAGAAAUGGUGAUUAAAACUGUAUCCCCCACAAAUCAGAUUUGGAAAGAACUGAUCAGCAACUUCCUCACAGUAGCAAAUGCCAAACAACAUGAAAGAAAGCAUGUCAUAUAUACAGACAUUGUGUAAUACAAAAAUAAGCACAGAAGCAUACAAGCAAACAUAUAGCACAUACUAAGCAAUCAGCCAACAAGGUAAGCAGAGACGAUAUCAUAUUAAUAAGCUACAAACAAACAUGGCAAACUCAAUACAUAAUAAUAGGCAAAAAAACAAAAUGAAAAGUAUCAUGUGGUUCUGUUUCGUUUGUAUUUAAUUGAAUACAUAAAAAGUAUUUGUUUGUUUCAGUUUAAAGGAACUAACCCACAGAUUUUAGGCGAAAAAUGAUUUCUCUCAAACAUUUAUAAAAAGUGAGUACUCUGAAGUGACCAGUGGUACAACCUUAUCGACAUAAGAUUUUUGCAAGGUAUUCUUACAAACUGGAGCAAUGAUAUCUUCUUCCCAGUUACAAAUGACCAAAAUUUAUUUUGCAGAAAGUAAUAAAUCGUUGCAAUGAUUUUGAAAAUAUGCAGAAAAUCUACAUUCUUCUUGCAUAUUUAUCAAUAACUUACUUUCAUUUACACCCACUUUAUCAUUUUUCAGUGUCAUAUACAGUAUACAUUCAGUGCCAUUUGCAAAAUAAUGUUGCAAUAUAAAAUAAUUUCUCUGAGGUGUGGACAGCAUUGCAGUAUGGUUAGACACAUGAAAAAGAAAACAGUUUAUUCUUUCAUAUACUAGCAGUUAAAACAGAUAAGUAUUUGAAGUUUCAAACACAGAUAUUAGAAUGAAUAUGGCAGCUUUCUUUCAUUACAAGCAGAGUUCAGAUUUAUUGAUGUGUAAGUUUGGGCAGCAAUGAGGAUGGCAAAGAGUGUAUGUUCAGUGCUGAGGAGGACUAACACCUUAACAUGGUCCAGAUUGAGGACAGAAAUAAAACAUUUUCAUAUCAGUAGAGUUUGCAUGGCAGAGACUCGGCAGAAUAAAUAUAAUCAGUGGACAGUGCCAUUUAAAUUAAAAGACCCAGAGUAUGAUUUGGACUAUAUACUGAAUCCAGCAAAUCAUGCUGCGAUCAGCGAAAACAUUGCUAACAGGAAAGGUGUAGGAAAUAUUGAUCUUGUGGUUGAUUUAUAUAGGAAGUUUGAAAACACAAGAGAUCCAGAUGAAAAAGAGACUGUUAAAAGACAAUUUCUCAAAGCAGUUGGAGAAAUGCCAAACACUUCCCAUCCACAGUCACCAGUAGGGGAGGAAGAUGCAGCUAUACUUGUAGAUCUUGUUGGGCAUAAAAGAGAAACAUCAGGAGAUCAGCCACAGUUGAAAACCAUGUUGGAACUUGGAGAACAUCUUGGCAUGUUGAGAACAAGCAAUGUGAGUUUGACAACAGGCCACACAACAUACUACUUUCUUGACCAGCUGGCUAUGUUAGAGCAAGCUCUUGUUAAAUAUACAGUGGAUUAUUUGCUUCAAAAGGGGUUCCAGUUAGUGUCUGUACCCGAUCUGUUACAUCCAGAAAUCAUUGAGAGUUGUGGUUUCAAGACAACGGGAGAUGUUGCUCAAGUGUACAGACUAGAUACAGCUAGACAUCCUGACCUGUGUUUGAUUGGAACUUCAGAAAUGUCUUUAGCAGGUUAUUUUACAGAUGAAGUUCAAAAGAUAAAAGACUUACCAAUUAAGUUUGCUGCAGUCAGUAGGUGCUACAGAGCAGAGACGUCCCAUAUGGAAGAUGAUCUGGGUCUGUACAGAGUACACCAAUUUACCAAAGUAGAAAUGUUUGGGGUAACAAGCAGUAGCAGUGGAGAAGAAGGCAAUGACCUGCUCAUGGAACUUAUAGACAUUGAGAAAACAUUGUUUAGUCAGUUAGGUUUACAUUUUAGGGUACUAGAAAUGCCAACAACAGAGUUAGGAGCUCCUGCUCAUAGAAAGUUUGAUAUUGAAGCUUGGAUGCCAGCCAAACAGUUCUGGGGUGAGAUAUCUAGUGCCUCUAACUGUACAGACUACCAGAGCAGAAGACUCAGUAUAAAAUAUAGCACAGAUAGUGGGGAAUCUCAAUCAUUGUACCACAGUAAGUACGUUUAACUGAAUAGAAUACCAGAGUAGAAGACUCUAUACAGAAAUACAGUACAGUUGUGGAGAGCUCAGAGUACCUCAGUAAAUGGCACAGCAUGUGCAGUUCCCAGGACUCUCAUGGCAGUUUGUGAAACACAUCAAAAUCAGGAUGGCAGUAUAAAUAUUCCAUCAGUAUUACAGAAAUAUAUGGAUGGGUUACAAGUUAUAAUUA
rnacentral:misc_RNA from 1 species